CAGUAGCCGCGGUAACACCGAGGGUGCAAGCGUUAAUCGGAUUUACUGGGCGUAAAGGGCGCGUAGGUGGUUAUUUAAGUGAGAUGUGAAAGCCCCGGGCUUAACCUGGGAACUGCAUCUUAUACUGGGUAACUGGAGUGCAGUAGAGGGUGGUGGAAUUUCCGGUGUAGCGGUGAAAUGCGUAGAUAUCGGAAGGAGCACCAGUGGCGAAGGCGGCUACCUGGACUGAGACUGACACUGAGGCGCGAGAGCGUGGGGAGCAAACAGGAUUAGAUACCCCAGUAGUCCCUGUCUCUUAUAC
rnacentral:rRNA from 1 species